GUCUACAGCCAUGCUACCCUGAACAUGCCCGAUACCAUCUGAUCUCGGAAGCUAAGAAUGGUCGGGCCAGGUUAAUAGUUGGAUUGGAGACCACCUGGAAGUACAGGGGCUGUAGGCA
rnacentral:rRNA from 1 species